rnacentral:rRNA from 1 species
GACGAACGCUGGCGGCGUGCUUAACACAUGCAAGUCGAACGGCAAGGCCCUGCUUUUGUGGGGUGCUCGAGUGGCGAACGGGUGAGUAACACGUGAGUAACCUGCCCUUGACUUUGGGAUAACUUCAGGAAACUGGGGCUAAUACCGGAUAGGAGCUCCUGCUGCAUGGUGGGGGUUGGAAAGUUUCGGCGGUUGGGGAUGGACUCGCGGCUUAUCAGCUUGUUGGUGGGGUAGUGGCUUACCAAGGCUUUGACGGGUAGCCGGCCUGAGAGGGUGACCGGCGACAAUGGGACUGAGAUACGGCCCAGACUCCUACGGGAGGCAGCAGUGGGGAAUAUUGCACAAUGGGCGGAAGCCUGAUGCAGCAACGCCGCGUGCGGGAUGACGGCCUUCGGGUUGUAAACCGCUGUCGCCUGUGACGAAGCGUGAGUGACGGUAAUGGGUAAAGAAGCACCGGCUAACUACGUG